AGUGCACGCUGGCCGUAGGCCUAACACAUGCAAGUCGAACGGCAGCACCGUAAGAGCUUGCUCUUACGGGUGGCGAGUGGCUUCCGGGUGAGGAAUACAUCGGAAUCUACUUUUUCGUGGGGGAUAACGUAGGGAAACUUACGCUAAUCCCGCAUACGACCUACGGGUGAAAGCAGGGGCUCUUCGGACCUUGCGCGAUUGAAUGAGCCGAUGUCGGAUUAGCUAGGUGGCGGGGUAACGGCCCACCAAGGCGCCGAUCCGUAGCUGGUCUGACAGGAUGAUCAGCCAGACUAGAACUGAGACACGGUCCACACUCCUUGUGGAUGCAGAAGUGGGGAAUAUUGGACAAUGGGCGCAAGCCUGAUCCAGCCAUACCGCGUGGGUGAAGAAGGCCCUCGGUUUGUAAAGCCCUUUUGUUGGGAAAGAAAAGCAGCAGGUUAAUACCCCGCUGUUCUGACGGUACCCAAAGAAUAAGCACCGGCUAACUUCGUG
rnacentral:rRNA from 1 species